CUCAUUUUAGUAACACAUCAUGGUCUGAGUUAUAUUCUUGUGAAGUAACAGCUGGUGGCAACGUGCAGACCUUCAGUCUUCAGUCCGCAGGUGAGGACACAGCAGCAGCAGCAGCAGUGAGGGACAUCAGAUCAGGUUUCACUAAGACAGCUUCUGUGAUCACUGAAGAUGCAAAAGGUUGGUGGUGGUGGAUCAUCGUUGGGAUCGUGGGGGUUGCAGCACUCAUAAUCAUCAUCACAUUAUCAACAUCCCAUCGUUUCAAAGUUUCACCCUCAUUCCUUCAAGAUUUAUUCUCUUGCCUCUUCAGUACAGAGACCUCAGACGAAUGAAAACAUUGUGCGUUAUGAUGUAGAUGGUGGUACAGUGAACUAUGACAACAUCAGACCUCCUGAUGGAGUUUGAGCAACACUUCUGCCUCCAUCAGACUCCACUGAUCAACAACGUCUACAUCUAUCAUCGUGUUUCACAUCAGGAGUGGAAGAUUAUACAAUCAUUUUCAGUUAUCUAUUGUAUAAUUUAUGACAUUACGCAGCUGGAUUUUAACUCAGUUUAACAGGAAUGAGUUUUUAACGCUUGUUUACUUUCUUAUGUUUCAGAGCUGAUUUUAAGAUGUAUUGCUUGUUGUUGAAGCUACAGCAGAUUUAGCUCAGUUUAAUAUUUCUGUGUGCAGAAUAACUUAUUUUAAUCCACUUUCAUUUAGCGUUGCUGUUAACAUAACAUAUUAGUUUUCAGCA